CGGACGGGUGAGUAAUGUCUGGGAAACUGCCUGAUGGAGGGGGAUAACUACUGGAAACAGUAGCUAAUACCGCAUAACGUCGCAAGACCAAAGAGGGGGACCUUAGGGCCUCUUGCCAUCGGAUGUGCCCAGAUGGGAUUAGCUAGUAGGUGGGGUAACGGCUCACCUAGGCGACGAUCCCUAGCUGGUCUGAGAGGAUGACCAGCCACACUGGAACUGAGACACGGUCCAG
rnacentral:rRNA from 1 species